UACGAAGGGUGCAAACGUUGCUCGGAAUUAUUGGGCGUAAAGGGCGCGUAGGCGGCUUUGCAAGUGACGGGUGAAAGCCCUCGGCUUAACCGAGGAACUGCCUGUCAGACUGUGAGGCUUGAGACCGGGAGAGGUGAGUGGAAUUCCCAGUGUAGCGGUGAAAUGCGCAGAUAUCGGGAGGAACACCAAUGGCGAAGGCAGCUCGCUGGGACGGUACUGACGCUGAGACGCGAAAGCGUGGGGAGCAAACAGGG
rnacentral:rRNA from 1 species